rnacentral:rRNA from 1 species
AGCAGCCGCGGUAAUUCCAGCUCCAAUAGCGUAUAUUAAAGUUGUUGCAGUUAAAAAGCUCGUAGUUGAAUUUCGGGAUUAAUAUGUUGGUCGUGCCUUGGUACGUACUGGCAUUAUUGAUUCCUACCUUCUGAAGAAUCUCGAUGUCAUUAAUUUGGUGUCUUGGGGAAUCAGGACCGUUACUUUGAAAAAAUUAGAGUGUUUAAAGCAGGCUCGCGCUUGAAUACAUUAGCAUGGAAUAAUGAAAUAGGACGUUUGAUUCUAUUUUGUUGGUUUCUAGGAUCGACGUAAUGAUUAAUAGGGAUAGUUGGGGGCAUUAGUAUUCAAUUGUCAGAGGUGAAAUUCUUGGAUUUAUUGAAGACUGACUACUGCGAAAGCAUUUGCCAAGGAUGUUUUCAUUAAUCAAGAACGAAAGUUAGGGGAUCGAAGACGAUCAGAUACCGUCGUAGUCUUAACCAUAAACUAUGCCGACUAGGGAUCGGAUGAUGUUAAUUUUUUAAUGACUCAUUCGGCGCCUUACG